rnacentral:rRNA from 2 species
UGGGGAAUUUUGCACAAUGGGGGAAACCCUGAUGCAGCGACGCCGCGUGAUUUAGAAGGCCUUCGGGUUGUAAAAAUCUUUUCUAUGGGAAGAAAAUGACAGUACCAUAGGAAUAAGGACCGGCUAAUUACGUGCCAGCAGCCGCGGUAAUACGUAAGGUCCGAGCGUUGUCCGGAAUCAUUGGGCGUAAAGGGUACGUAGGCGGGUAAGCAAGUUAGAAGUGAAAUCCUGUAGCUCAACUACAGUAAGCUUUUAAAACUGCUCAUCUUGAGAUAUGGAAGGGAAAGUGGAAUUCCUAGUGUAGCGGUGAAAUGCGCAGAUAUUAGGAGGAAUACCGGUGGCGAAGGCGACUUUCUGGCCAUACUCUGACGCUGAGGUACGAAAGCGUGGGUAGCAAACAGG